UUCUGCUUAGUAUAGCGGUUAUUACACGCGCGCGUCAUCACUUAAGGGCGCGCGAGACCAGGGUUUAAAUCCCUGCCCGGGAA